rnacentral:rRNA from 1 species
UACAGAGGGUGCAAGCGUUGUUCGGAAUUAUUGGGCGUAAAGGGAGUGUAGGCGGUUUCCUAAGUCUUCUGUGAAAUCUACGGGCUUAGCCUGUAACGUGCAGAGGAAACUGGGAGACUUGAGUGUCGGAGAGGAUAGGGGAAUACCCGGUGUAGAGGUGAAAUUCGUAGAGAUCGGGUGGAACACCAGUGGCGAAGGCGCCUGUCUGGCUGACAACUGACGCUGAGACGCGAAAGCGUGGGUAGCAAACAGG